UGAUUACAUAAGCCUCCGAGAAACGGAGGACUUGCUGCUAACUCAGCAUGGAACAAAGAGAAGAGAGAUCGCUCACAGGACCAAGGUGCUUUAAAGACUUGUAGACUUCAGCUCCCAGAAUUCCUCAGCCAGCGUGUCUUACAACGUGGCCAACUUUGGAGAUCCCUGAUCAUGAUUAGGGGACUGGAGGAUAAAACAUACGAAGAACGGCUGCAGGAAUUGGCGUGAAACCACGUUGAAAACAAGGAGUUUCUGGAGAAGUUACAUCUAGUGAUAGUGUUGUACCUUGAUGAAGGUAUCUUUUCUUUUAUGUACACUGAGAGGGUAUUGUAAUGUAUUUGAAUUUUAGGAGGGAAAUUUGGGCAGGAAAAUGCACGUUGCUGAUUGGCUGAUGCCUGAGCCAAAAUACUAUUUAAAGAGGGGUUUUUGCCUGUUGGCUUUUGCUGGGAUCACAAUAAACCAAAGAGCUGUUGUCACUUGUAUCGUCUCCUGCCUCUUCAUUGCCCGAACGUAACAGGUAUGCACCAAGACAAAUUCCUUGUGUGUCCAAUUACAAUUGGCCAAUAAAAAAUUCUAUUCUAUUCUAUUCUAUUCUAUUCUAUUCUAUUAAUGUGAAGACACAAAAGGGAGAGGUGUGCCACGGGAGUGUGGGAAAGAACCCUCAUCCCUUCCCCCCACUUUAAAUCAGUGCUUUUCAAAAGUUGGCCACUUUUCAGAUGUUUGGACUUCAACUCCCAGAAUUCUUACAACCGCCAAGUUUACUCUACAUUUAAAAGGGGGCGUGUAGAGAAGGGGGAGGGGGCGCCACCAGGGCCAACCGCAAGGUCUCUCCGGCGCCACGUGGCUUGCACGACUAUCUCUCACGCCCACUGUGCAUGCCCGGAGGAGCCCCCCACCACCACCCGUUCCCGAUUGUCAAGGGCCAAGUGACACUUUGCGCUCCCGUCCGCCUUUGCAAUUGCGCGCUGCUUCCUUGCGCGCUGCCCUGAUGCAAAACUCAAAGCCGGUCCGGGUUGCGCUUUGCCUGGCCCGGCCAAGGACGGAUUGAAAACAAGGCAAUUUGCCAAAUAGCAAAGCGGGCUCGACUUGGCUUAGCACGCUAAAGGGGGUUGCAUUCCCACGACCUGUCUCCGGGACUGCGGAGCAGAUGCUAUAAAAGUCCGCCUGGACCAGACUUUCGGCAAAGCCAAGGCGGCGUGCGCUCGAGUCAAAAGAGCGUCGUGUGAAAGGCGGCCCAAGCGGCUACUUCGAAAGGCCAGGCUUCCCUCUCCUUGCCAGAGGGUUGCAUAACGGCCUUUCCUUCCCCUCCCAAGCGGGCUGCCACGACCGGGCCCAACCCGGACUGACGUCGCCUCGCCUCCACCCAUCGCUACAUCCGUGCCAACCUCCCUUUGCGCCAGCCAGUUCAGUUUCUGUUCCCUCCGAUCUGCUUUCUGUCUCUCUCCCCCACACCCACCCGAGAUCAAAGGCGGGCCAGAAGCCCCCGCGGGGGGAGCAAAAAUCUCCCCCCGCGCCACACACACUCUCCCCAGGCUAGGCGGACCUCAACCCCC